GCUAGGGUGGCAGAGCCCGGAUACUGCAGAAGAUUUAAGCCCUUCUUACAGAGGUUCAAAUCCCCUCCCCAGCU
rnacentral:tRNA from 2 species